AUACUUACCUGGACGGGGUCGAUGGGUGAUCCAGAAGGCCCAUGGCCUAGGUAGGCGACCUCCAUUGCACAGGGGAGGGGUGCCUCCCUAACAUCUCCCCAAGUGGGAGAGUGUACGUCAUAAUUUGUGGUAGCGAGGGUACGCGUUCUUGCGGCCCCUAC
rnacentral:snRNA from 1 species